rnacentral:lncRNA from 1 species
UUGGAAAUUUGGUUAUUUCUUUUCUGGAAAUUAUCCAGUUGUCAUCACUGAUCAUAAUUAUGUCAAGGUUUAGAGAAGGAUGAAUAAUAUGAGGAAAUCCAACUGCCAGAAGAAAACCAAGUCCUCAAACAUUUCACUUCUCAUUAAUCUGUUUUUCAAAUUUAGCUAAAAUUACUUAGUUAACGGUUUUGAAAUAAUCUUUUCUGACUGCAUUUUUAUCAUAGAAAAUGAAAAUUCUGUUCUUCAUUUAAUUUAUCGUCUAUUUAGGUAUUCUAAUUCUAUUUUCAGCAUGUAAGGUGAAAGAGUUUUUUUCCCUCCAGUUGUGUUGAUCUGAAGGAACUUGCAUAUGGCCAAAGGCCAAAGUCCACAAGCUGUUUGCAUGGACAAGAACAGCAAUAUUAUAGUGCCAUUUUAACUUUUUUUUUCCUGACAGGAUGCAGUUCAGUGAUAGUGUUCUACACAGAACUUCUAACUUCCUAUUUACAUGUCUCCAGUGCAAACCUCAUUUCAUCUAGACAGUAAUCCAAAGGAUCUUCCUGCUGGUCUAUGUUUCUUUUAGGACUGGACAUGAGAGGGAUCUGUUCCAAAUCUCAUGCUUUAAAACAGUACAAAAUGUUCAACAAUUCUAUGAAUGUGUAAGUUAGUAGAGUUAAAAAAAUUAGCAAGGAACCAGUGGUGGGUUGCUCUGUGGUUUAUUUUAAAAGUACCUCUUAAAAAACAAUCCUUUUAAAAUUUUUAUUUGAAGGCAGUUUCAUUUCGUUGAAAUGACUGGUGGCUGUUCA